GUGUAAAAGAAAUGCUGAAAAUCGGAAGAAGCAAAUAGUUCCACACACCGGUGGCUCCAAACCUAAUUCUAGAAGAAGGGCUGAAAUGAUGGCUGAGACAGGAAGUAAGCCUGGACGAGCACAACUUUAUCUUGCUACACAUACGAAAAAAGAUGGAUCAUAUGUAAAUGAGGAGGCAAAAGAAAUAUGU